rnacentral:rRNA from 1 species
AUUGAACGCUGGCGGCAAGCCUAACACAUGCAAGUCGAACGAGUGGCGGACGGGUGAGUAAUGUCUGGGCACCUGCCUGAUGGAGGGGGCUAACUACUGGAAACGUUAGCUAAUACCGCAUACCAUCGGAUGUGCCCAGAUGGGAUUAGCUAGUAGGUGGGGUAAAGGCUCACCUAGGCGACGAUCCCUAGCUGGUCUGAGAGGCUGACCAGCCACACUGGAACUGAGACACGGGCCAGACUCCUACGGGAGGCAGCAGUGGGGAAUAUUGCACAAUGGGCGCAAGCCUGAUACAGCCAUGCCGCGUGUAUGAAGAAGGCCUUCGGGUUGUAAAGUACUUUCAGCGGGGAGGCGUUACCCGCAGAAGAAGCACCGGCUAACUCCGUGCCAGCCGCCGCGGUAAUUC